GUGCUUGCUUUGGCAGCACAUAUACUAAAAUUGGAACAAUAUAGAGAAGAUGAGCAUGGCCCCUGUACAAAAUAAAGUCAACAAGAUGCUCAAAUUACUAAU